rnacentral:lncRNA from 1 species
AGGAUUUCCGAUCUGCAAACCUUUUCACGAGUUGCAUCUCCUAACUCCAUAGAUCUGAAGUCAAAGUUCGGUCUUCGUCAAACUCCGGCGAGCUUUUCCGGCGAAACCGUGGACUUUCGGCGAAAACCGACACCAUCAUAGAGUUCCUCUCUUCGAGCUCUACGCCGUGGUGUGGUGGAUUGCAUGAAUCCGAUGUCGGCUCCGUCGUCCUCCCCAACUCCGGCGAGCUUUUCCACCGCCAUUUCUCAUCUCUUGCCGAAGGUGAGCACACCAUCUUGUUCGCCUUGUCGAUAUCGUUCCAUUUUGCCGUUCAUGCGCGAGAUCGGACUUCGUUUCCACCUACCCCUCCUUCUCUCUCUCUCCCUCCCUCCUGUUUCUUUUCUUUCUGUACGCAACUGAAACCAUCGGUGCCUGUCCGUUCGCCCCUGGCCGCCGCCUGCAUGCUGCGCCACCGCCUGUGCGCCGCCGGAGCCGCCGGCCGAGCCUCCCUGCUGGCGCAUCCACCCGCCGCUCGCGCAAGCCGCCCCGGCCCCGGCCGUCGCCGCCGGCAGGAUCGGCCUAGGCCACGGUCGAUGGCCAACGUGUUACCAGAGUUGGAAGGUUGAAGAUGAGUUGGUGAUUUUGCUAUUAGGCCCCUGAGGAAAACUCAAAUUUUCAGCUUAAUUCUUGUGUCUUGGCAACUUCACAGAAAACCCCUCGAUCUUUCCGGUCCCAUUCAAUUUAAACCGAGCCUCACAAUCUUUUGGAUCUAACCCUGUUAUUUCUAUUAUUUGCGAGCACUAUUCCUGGUGUCUUGCAAAUUUUCCUUGCUAACCCCUCAGGUCUACGGUUAAUUAUGUUUAGGCCCCUACAACCUUGUUUAACCCAUAGAAUCUACGUUUUAAUUCCAUUUUCGUCCGUUCAAGUUGCGUUAGAUUCAUAAUGAUGUAAAUUACACGUUAGUGGUAAUGUUUUCCUUCACACAUGUUUUUGAAAAUAAAAUUUAUUUUAAAAUUGAUUAAUGCCUGACAAACGAGUUCUUCUCUAAAUAAAAUCUAUUUAGUGUUAAACAUUGUUUUUCAUAAUAAUUGUUAAUUUGAUUAAUGCCUACUUCAUACCCUCUUCUAAAUAAAAUCCAAUUAGGUUAUAUAUCGGUUUUUUUUAUAAACUAAAGUUAAUUGGAAUAAUGCCUACCUAAAUAAUUCUUCCAAUUAAAAGCCACUUAGAGUUAUACCUCGACGUUUCAUAAAUUAAAUUCAACUUGAUUGAUGUCUAUUUAAUUUGUUUUCUAAAUAAAAUCUGUAUAGGUUAUAUCUCGAGUUUUCAUAAUUAAAUAUUAAUUUGGCUAAUAUAAAUAUAAAUGUGUUUUUAAUUUAAUCUACUUAGUUGAACUCGAGAUGUAAAGCUAUACGCUUAGAUGUCUACAUGUAUCUUAUUUUUAAAUUAAACGUUUAAUUUGCAUAAAUUGUACUCAAAUAUUUAUAAAUAAAAUUGGACUAAGCUUUACACCGUCUUUUCUUAUGAAAAUAUAAAUAUGACUUGAUUAAUUCUAACUAAGGAUAUUUCUCUGAAAUAUCUUUACAUUGCUUUUCUCAACUAAAAUAAAUAAAGCUUGUAGCUCUUAUCUUUCUUUUAUAAUUCAAAACUCUCGAUAGCUUUAUCUUUUCAACCAUAGUUCCGUUUUAAGCGUUCCUUACGUUCGCGUGACCUUAGAUCGAGCCUUGUCGUUAGUACGCUCUUUUAAAGCUUUCCUUUUAUUUUGGUGUACUGCUCUUAGUUGUAUUUGUUUGUUUGCUUGUAUGAUUGUGCCGGUGAUUGCUUUGAGAAGAAGGAUCGCUGUUCGAAAGCUUUGAAGAUUAAGAGUUUCAAGAGAGCAAGAGCCGAAGAGCAGUAAGAAGUAACUUGUCGCUGGAAAAAGGCAAGUGUGUCCUUGUGCUUUUAUCCUAAUAACUUUGUUUAAUCACUAUUGCAUAUGCUUGCAUUAAAUUUUAUGGGUCCUAUUAAGGUUUGCCUAGUUUUUGUGAUUAUUCCUUGCCAACCUGGGUUUACCUUUCUGUUGGGUAGCUAUGCUUAGCUGCUAUACUUGGGUUAUGGUGGUUCUAAUGAACAACAUGGUGAACUUAUUCUGUUUAUGAUAUACCUUUUGUUGCUACAAGAUUACAAUAUUUAAUUGGAACAUGGAGCGACCACCUAGGAAAACAGUGCUACCACAAGACUAAAUGGCUCUGGUCUUGGCUGAUUAAUUAGAAACCUUAGUCUGGGGUGACCUUACUCGUGAUGAGGCAAGAGGGGGGACUGAGUCGUUGCAUUUUACCUGGGAUGGGUGGUGCACGCCAGACACCGAAACCUUAGCGGGUUACCACUGACUAAUGAAUCUUUGUAAAGGCCUCGUAGCGUCCCUAUGCAAUCACACCUCGGAAGUGUGGUAUUGUGCCUGAUCAGCACAAGCGUGGUUGGGUCUAAAGUUCUUUUGAGCUUUUACGCGACUUGUGGGUAAAGAUGUGCGACCUCUGCAGAGUGUAAAACUGAUCGAUCAGCCGUGCUCACGGUUAAGAGCGGCCUGGACCCUCACAUGAGUAAUAUACUUGAAGAUGGAUUUAGAUUGUGGUUUAUGCUAUGGUUAUGGUUGUGCCAUAUGCUUAUGGCUUAUGUUUAUGUUUCUAUUAAUUGUGGGUUGGUAUAUACUUAUACCUUAGUAAUUAGGUGCUAAUAAAAUUUGACCAACUAAAAAUGCUUAAUGUAGUAAACCGGUCAGCCUUUCCUUGUUUAACCCUUGCAUUCAUAUUCUCCUCACACUUGCUGAGUACGACAAGUGCUCACCCUUGCUAUAAACAACGUUGCUCAGAAGAAGAAGCUGCUAUGAAGUUAUUGUGAAGAUGGUGCUGAGUCCUAGGCGUACGCAGCCCUAGUCGAUUGCCUGUGAAGUUUGGAGCCUCCGUUUCCAUAAUUAAGCUGUAUAUCUCUGAUGGUUUGUAAGUCUUUAUUUGUAUCUUUUUACGUGAUACUGUUGCUGUUAUUCACUAAUGAUGUCACUAUAUGUAUGAAACUUGAUCCUGGCAUA